UACGAAGGGUGCAAACGUUGCUCGGAAUUAUUGGGCGUAAAGCGCACGUAGGCGGCUUAGUAAGUUGGAUGUGAAAUCCCUCGGCUUAACCAAGGAAGUGCAUCCAAAACUACUGAGCUUGAGUACUAAAGAGGAUCGCGGAAUUCCCGGUGUAGAGGUGAAAUUCGUAGAUAUCGGGAGGAACACCAGUGGCGAAGGCGGCGAUCUGGGUAGAUACUGACGCUGAGGUGCGAAAGCGUGGAGAGCAAACAGG
rnacentral:rRNA from 1 species